rnacentral:rRNA from 1 species
CGUAAGUAAAUAUAAUAAGAGCAUUUGGUGGAUGCCUUGGCAUUAGAAGGCGAUGAAGGACGUAAUACGCUGCGAUAAGCUUCGGGGAGCUGCGAAUAAGCUUUGAUCCAAAGAUUUCCGAAUGGGGAAACCCACCUAAUUUAUUAGGUAUUGUAUAGUGAAUACAUAGCUAUAUGAGGCAAACCCAGCGAACUGAAAUAUCUAAGUAGCUGGAGGAAAGGACAUCAACCGAGACUCCGUUAGUAGUGACGAGCGAACGCGGACCAGGCCAGUGGCUUCAAAAAAAAUAACUAAAACAACAUGGAAAGGUUGACCGUAGAGGGUGAUAGUCCCGUAUAGGUAAAAAGUUUGAAGUCCUUGAGUAAGGCGGGACACGUGAAAUCCUGUCUGAACAUAGGGGGACCACCCUCUAAGCCUAAGUACUCUCUAGUGACCGAUAGUGAACAAGUACCGUGAGGGAAAGGUGAAAAGUACCCCAACAAGGGGAGUGAAAUAGUAUCUGAAACCAAAUGCUUACAAGCAGUCGGGGCAAGCAUUUAUGUCUUGUGACGGCGUACCUUUUGUAUAAUGGGUCAGCGACUUAGUUUAUCUAGCAAGCUUAAGCCGUUAGGUGUAGGCGUAGCGAAAGCGAGUCUGAAUAGGGCGACUAUAGUUAGAUGAAUUAGACCCGAAACCGAGUGAUCUAGCCAUGGCCAGGUUGAAAGCGGAGUAAAAUCCGCUGAAGGACCGAACCCACUACUGUUGAAAAAGUAGGGGAUGAGCUGUGGUUAGGGGUGAAAGGCCAAUCAAACUCGGAUAUAGCUGGUUCUCCGCGAAAUCUAUUUAGGUAGAGCGUUAUAGCGGUUACCAUCGGAGGUAGAGCACUGAAUGAGCUAGGGGGUCCCACAGACUUACCAAACUCAAUCAAACUCCGAAUGCCGAUGAGUAUAGCAUAGCAGACAGACUAUGGGUGCUAAGGUCCAUAGUCGAGAGGGAAAAAGCCCAGACCGCCAUCUAAGGUCCCUAAAUCAUGACUAAGUGUUAAAGGAUGUGAGAAGACCAAAACAACUAGGAUGUUGGCUUAGAAGCAGCCAUCAUUUAAAGAAAGCGUAAUAGCUCACUAGUCUAAAUAAGUUUUCUUGCGCCAACAAUGUAACGGGGCUCAAGUCAUGUACCGAAGAUGCGGAUUCACACAUUUGGUGUGAGUGGUAGCGGAGCGUUCCGUAAGCCUGUGAAGGUGAACCGUAAGGUUUGCUGGAGGUAUCGGAAGUGAGAAUGCUGACAUAAGUAGCGAUAAAGAAUGCGAGAAACAUUCUCGCCGAAAGUCCAAGGGUUCUUGCGUAAAGUUAAUCUGCGCAAGGUUAGUCGGCCCCUAAGGUGAGGCUGAAAGGCGUAAUCGAUGGGAAUCAGGUUAAUAUUCCUGAACCUGAAGGAUGUGACGAAAGUAGUAAGUUGUACAGUCUUAUUGGAUUGAUUGUGCAGCGAAUAUUUUCCAGGAAAUAACACCUUCAUUAUAGACCGUACCCGAAACCGACACAGGUGGACAGGUAGAGUAUACCAAGGCGCUUGAGAGAACGAUGCUGAAGGAACUAGGCAAAUUGCAUCUGUAACUUCGGAAGAAAGAUGACCUACAUAUGGGCAACCAUUUGUGGGUGGCACAAGCUAGGGGGUAGCGACUGUUUAUUAAAAACACAGGGCUCUGCAAAGUCAAUAGAUGAAGUAUAGGGUCUGACGCCUGCCCAGUGCUGGAAGAUUAAGAGGAGGGGUGCAAGCUCUGAAUUGAAGUCCCAGUGAACGGCGGCCGUAACUAUGACGGUCCUAAGGUAGCGAAAUUCCUUGUCGGGUAAGUUCCGACCCGCACGAAUG